GACAUAGCGGCGUGCUAUACAUGCAGUCGAGCGAAUGACGAGAAGCUUGCUUCUCUGAUUUAGCGGCGGACGGGUGAGUAACACGUGGGCAACCUGCCCUACAGAUCGGGAUAACUCAGGGAAACCUGGGCUAAUACCGGAUAAUCCUUCGAAUCACAUGUUUUGAAGUUGAAAGGCGCUUCGGCGUCACUGUAGGAUGGGCCCGCGGUGCAUUAGCUAGUUGGUGGGGUAACGGCCUACCAAGGCAACGAUGCAUAGCCGACCUGAGAGGGUGAUCGGCCACAUUGGGACUGAGACACGGCCCAAACUCCUACGGGAGGCAGCAGUAGGGAAUCUUCCACAAUGGACGAAAGUCUGAUGGAGCAACGCCGCGUGAGUGAUGAAGGUUUUCGGAUCGUAAAACUCUGUUGUAAGGGAAGAACAAGUACGUUAGGAAAUGAACGUACCUUGACGGUACCUUAUUAGAAAGCCACGGCUAACUACGUGCCAGCCGCCGCGGUAAUUCCAA
rnacentral:rRNA from 1 species